rnacentral:rRNA from 1 species
CGGAGCGGCAGCUGAGAUGGGCGGGGCGGGGCGGGGACGGGACGCGAUGGCGCUGGUCGGCCGUCGGGCGUCGGCGGGUCUGGCGUGAGCCGUCAGCUGCAGGCCGCGGGCCGCGGGCCGCAACACGUCGACGUCUUCCGUGCAUCGGUCGGCGGGUCGGCUAAACUCCCACCUGGUGGGACAAAGUUUUAGAAACUAGGCGGUCAGUCGGCGGACAGUGGUGGUAGUCUCCGUCUCAGAACCGAAGGUUGGCAGGAGGACGUCGGGCGAUCGGCGACGGUGGUGGACGCCGGUGGUUGGAGAGAGGACGUGCGUCCCCCCGAGUGCCGUUGGCUUGGUGGAGAGCGUCAGGUUGUUACCUCCCGGAGGAGCUGUUCGGGGACUUGGGCUUGUUCGAAGAAUUCCUCGUNNNNNNNNNNNNNNNNNNNCCCAGCAGGGAAGACCUCUAGCGCCGCGAGAGGUGAUAACACGGCCGUCACCACCAAAAUUCCUUUACCUCGUCGUCUCUAUUAUAAUCCUCCCUAAGUCACUUCUUUUUACUACUACGAGAACGACCAGUAUUUCUACCUCACAUAAUGAAAAGUCGCAACCAAUAUCUAAAAGAGUGACAACAUAACGGAUAUGAAGACUAAAAGUGCUAGAAUCGACUUACCUGAAUAUAAACACGUUAAAGAGAACAUCGACACUAUAGAUAGAUGUAGAACAAAUUUUCAAAGUCCAGAGUCAGAGUAGAGUUCCGAGUUGUUGUAGACGGAAGAGAAUCCCGUCUGUAUAGAAGAAUGGCUCACAGUCACCAAAAUCACUGUACGCACAGGUAUAACCGUCAGCUAAAGUUUUAGAAAGGAUCUGCCAUACGUUUCCGACUUUGUAUACCAUCACCGUAAUACCUAGAGCCUCAUCCCAGAAAACAUCACCGAUUACGUGACCACAGAUCUGUUCGUGCUUUGUAUUGGAGUUACUCUACCUUCCGUCGUGACUUCAGGUAUUCAGGAGAUCAUAAAGAACCGAAACGAGCAGAAUAGAGAUGUAGUCCACAACUAAUAGUCCACGUACAUCCUCUUAUACCACAGGUAACCUUGAAGAAAAAGUGGGAACGUCGUCAAAGAUAGGAAUGUAGGUAAUAGUCCUAAGUAGGAUUUAUAACGCCCUAUCAACCAUACGAACAAGAACGUCCUAUGGUCCAUACCGAUUUAAAACCCAACUUACUCAUAGAGUGUAGACUACUCUCUUCACGACUAUAGUAACCGGUCUUAUUCCUUCCGCACAUAUCGUAUAAACCUAUGACCCCAUACAUGGACUAACCACAUAGAGACCCAAUGAAAAACAAAGUACUGGAAUCAAGUUUUCCUUUCUAAUCCUCGUCAGUUCACCAUUUUCAUACCCAAGAGCGUUGUAGUAAAACCUAAAACCGCUAGUAAGAACUGUCGAUACAACUUUCUCAAAGAGCUGCUUACACGUUGAAGCGGAUACAAUACGAACACAAACCGGUCUUAAAAGUCCAAUAUAGAUAAGAGUGUGAUCGCCCCAGGUAAAGUGUGCUGUUCUUAAACCAAGAACUCCUUCGUAAGUUAGUUUUAUACGAACCCCGUAAGGAACACCGUUUAUAGGAUUGACCAGAUCAUUUAGAGAGUCAACUGUGCGAAAGCCGGAGAGGGGAGCGACGGAAGUACUAAAACCAUCGUAUGUGGAAAUUAAACACGUACGAACGACCGGAACGAGUCAAAAGACCACAAUCCUAUUUUAAAACCACUUAUACCUAAAACAGGUCAUGACAUGAAACAUACAUACCUCAUAAAUUAGAACUAAAACUCCUUCUGUGCAAACACAUAACUUUGGCUCGGGAAUCCGAGUAUACACCAGUUAAUGGUUUCGGGAUGGGUAACGUCCACCAUAUACUUAGCUCCACUCACAACAAAUAAGUGUGUCAUGAGCACUCUAGGUUAGAUUA